GGGGUUGCGACACAAACUUUCUAAAUUGUUGUAAUAAAGUUAUGUAGUCCAAUUCUGUUGCUAGAUAUUGGUAAUUUGCUGAUGUUAGUGAUAUGUAUCUAGAUUGUUAAAAUCGGAACGGCAAAAAAUAGAUCCAGAAAAUAACUUAAUGCACGAAAAGAAAAGAUAAGAGAAGAGCACACCGAUAUUUUACAUGGUUCGGCCAACGGUUUACGUCCACGAGUGAAGACGGAACAAUUACUUUAUUAAUGUCGAGAAGGCGGAGUAAAGAAAAUCUCUCGAAGAAACCGAAAA
rnacentral:lncRNA from 1 species